GUUUAUUCUGUGCUGCAGAGGACAGGUUCGUGCUGUGCCAGGCCAGCCUUGCUUUGGCAGCGUGGGAGCUGGAGGUGGCUGUAGUUUGAGGAGCAGCUAAUCAGAGCCGAGUCACUUGUUGAAGCAGGAGGGUAAGGAGUUAUUGGAAAUUGCAAAGAAGAGCACUGAAAACCAGACGGAGUCUUGGGGACGUGAAAUCUGCGUUAGAAAACCAUGCCCGAACUCAUCUGUGCAGCAUGCAGGGCCACACGUUAUGCAGCAUUGACCCCCAAGAUGCUGAACAGUGGCAGGUAGGAAGAGGCGAAAGUCUAGUUGGCUGAGACAUGUGAAGGU